CCUACGGGAGGCAGCAGUGAGGAAUAUUGGUCAAUGGACGAGAGUCUGAACCAGCCAAGUAGCGUGAAGGAUGACUGCCCUAUGGGUUGUAAACUUCUUUUAUAUGGGAAUAAAAUGUUCCACGUGUGGGAUUUUGUAUGUACCAUAUGAAUAAGGAUCGGCUAACUCCGUGCCAGCAGCCGCGGUAAUACGGAGGAUCCGAGCGUUAUCCGGAUUUAUUGGGUUUAAAGGGAGCGUAGGUGGAUUGUUAAGUCAGUUGUGAAAGUUUGCGGCUCAACCGUAAAAUUGCAGUUGAAGCUGGCAGUCUUGAGUACAGUAGAGGUGGGCGGAAUUCGUGGUGUAGCGGUGAAAUGCUUAGAUAUCACGUAGAACUCCGAUUGCGAAGGCAGUUCACUGGACUGCAACUGACACUGAGGCUCGAAAGUGUGGGUAUCAAACAGGAUUAGAUACCCGUGUAGUC
rnacentral:rRNA from 1 species